rnacentral:rRNA from 1 species
GAUGGGCCCGCGUCGGAUUAGCUAGUUGGUGGGGUAAAGGCCUACCAAGGCGACGAUCCGUAGCUGGUCUGAGAGGACGACCAGCCACACUGGGACUGAGACACGGCCCAGACUCCUACGGGAGGCAGCAGUGGGGAAUAUUGGACAAUGGGCGCAAGCCUGAUCCAGCAAUGCCGCGUGUGUGAAGAAGGCCUGCGGGUUGUAAAGCACUUUCAGUAGGGAGGAAGGCCUCAAUGUUAAUAGUAUUGAGGAUUGACGUUACCUACAGAAGAAGCACCGGCUAACUCUGUGCCAGCAGCCGCGGUAAUACAGAGGGUGCAAGCGUUAAUCGGAAUUACUGGGCGUAAAGGGCGCGUAGGUGGUUAUUUAAGUCAGAUGUGAAAUCCCUGGGCUUAACCUAGGAAUUGCAUUUGAAACUAGAUGGCUAGAGUAUGGUAGAGGGAAGUGGAAUUUCCGGUGUAGCGGUGAAAUGCGUAGAUAUCGGAAGGAACACCAGUGGCGAAGGCGACUUCCUGGACCAUUACUGACACUGAGGCGCGAAAGCGUGGGGAGCGAACAGGAUUAGAUACCCUGGUAGUCCACGCCGUAAACGAUGAUAACUAGAUGUUAGGGGGCUUAGACCUUUUUAGUAUCGCAGCAAACGCGUUAAGUUAUCCGCCUGGGGAGUACGGGCCGCAAGGUU